rnacentral:rRNA from 1 species
UACGUAGGGGGCUAGCGUUGUCCGGAAUCAUUGGGCGUAAAGAGCGUGUAGGCGGCCCGGUAAGUCCGCUGUAAAAGUCAAAGGCUCAACCUUUGAAUGUCAGUGGAUACUGCCGGGCUAGAGUCCGGAAGAGGCGAGUGGAACUCCCGGUGUAGCGGUGAAAUGCGCAGAUAUCAGGAGGAACACCGGUGGCGAAGGCGGGUCUCUGGGCCGAUACUGACGCUGAGGAGCGAAAGCGUGGGGAGCGAACAGG